rnacentral:tRNA from 1 species
GGGGGUAUCGUACAAAGGUAGUACAGCGGUCUCCAAAACCGUUAAUAUGGGUUCGAUUCCUAUUGCCCCCGCCA